ensembl:snRNA U2 U2 spliceosomal RNA
AUCGCUUCUCGGCCUUUUGGCUAAGAUCAAGUGUAGCAAUUCAAGUUUUACAUGAAAUUUUUGAAGUACUCUCA